UACGGGGGGAGCAAGCGUUGUUCGGAUUUACUGGGCGUAAAGGGCGCGUAGGCGGUCAGCACAAGUCAGUUGUGAAAUCUCCGGGCUUAACCCGGAAAGGUCAACUGAUACUGUGCGACUAGAGUGCGGAAGGGGCAACUGGAAUUCUCGGUGUAGCGGUGAAAUGCGUAGAUAUCGAGAGGAACACCUGCGGCGAAGGCGGGUUGCUGGGCUGACACUGACGCUGAGGAGCGAAAGCAUGGGGAGCGAACAGG
rnacentral:rRNA from 1 species